UACAGAGGUCCCAAGCGUUGUUCGGAUUCACUGGGCGUAAAGGGUGCGUAGGCGGUCGGGUAAGUCUGAUGUGAAAUCUUCAAGCUCAACUUGGAAACUGCAUCGGAUACUAUUCGGCUCGAGGAAUGGAGGGGAGACUGGAAUACUUGGUGUAGCAGUGAAAUGCGUAGAUAUCAAGUGGAACACCAGUGGCGAAGGCGAGUCCCUGGACAAUACCUGACACUGAGGCACGAAAGCUAGGGGAGCAAACAGG
rnacentral:rRNA from 1 species